UACGUAGGGGGCAAGCGUUGUCCGGAAUUAUUGGGCGUAAAGAGCGUGUAGGCGGUCCGGUAAGUCAGCUGUGAAAGUCAAGGGCUCAACCCUUGAAAGCCGGUUGAUACUGUCGGGCUAGAGUCCGGAAGAGGCGAGUGGAAUUCCCGGUGUAGCGGUGAAAUGCGCAGAUAUCGGGAAGAACACCCGUGGCUAAGGCGGCUCUCUAGUACGGUACUGACGCUGAGACGCGAAAGCGUGGGGAGCGAACAGG
rnacentral:rRNA from 1 species